UCUUCUGUACAGCCUCUGAAGAAAGGUGGC
rnacentral:sRNA from 1 species